rnacentral:lncRNA from 1 species
UGGGUACCUAUGCGUGUUUAUCAUCGACAGCAACAAAUAAUUUCAUUAUAAAUUGACCAUAAUAUGUAUUAUAUUUCAAUAGUGGAUCGAUCGAACACCAAAGACUAGACGCCUAGAUGGCAAAUAAGAUCGGCAUCAAACAGAUGAUACUAGAAGUGCAGAAAGAUGAACAAUAAGGGGUUAAUUAACAGGUUAGCCUUACGGCUGCCGCUGCUGCUGCUGCAACUCAAAUCCGUGGUUUUGCCAACCCAAAGGUUUAUUAUCUGUCUAUUUGUCUUGUAUAGAGGAAGAAGCACUCAAAUACAACAAUGAUCCCAGAAAUUGUAUAUUUCCCGUACCAAUCAAAUUAUGACUUUUUUCAAGAACUCGAAAUGUAUUUCUGUAUAGAAUAUUUUAUAUAUGAAUUAUGUGGAAGAGAAUAACUCAGUGAGCUUUUCAUUUUUAGUUGAGAGGAGAGUUGAGGCCUUCUUGAGAUGCAGAAAGAUGAACAAUAAGGGGUUAAUUUACAGGUUAGCCUUACUGCUGCUGCUGCAACUCAAAUCCGUGAUUUGGCCAACCAACAGUUUUAUGAUCUGUCUAUUUGUCUUGUAUAGAGGAAGAAGCACUCAAAUACAACAAUGAUCCCAGAAAUUGUAUAUUUCCCGUACCAAUCAAAUUAUGACUUUUUUCAAGAACUCGAAAUGUAUUUCUGUAUAGAAUAUUUUAUAUAUGAAUUAUGUGGAAGAGAAUAACUCAGUGAGCUUUUCAUUUUUAG